rnacentral:rRNA from 1 species
CACGUAGGGCGCAAGCGUUGUCCGGAAUUAUUGGGCGUAAAGAGCUCGUAGGCGGUCUGUUACGUCUGCUGUGAAAACCCUGGGCUUAACCCUGGGCUUGCAGUGGAUACGGGCAGACUAGAGGCAGGUAGGGGAGAAUGGAAUUCCAGGUGUAGCGGUGAAAUGCGUAGAUAUCUGGAGGAACACCGGUGGCGAAGGCGGCAUCCUGGACCGACACUGACGCUGAGGAGCGAAAGCCAGGGGAGCAAACGGG